UUAAGCGACUAAGCGUACACGGUGGAUGCCCUGGCAGUCAGAGGCGAUGAAGGACGUGCUAAUCUGCGAUAAGCGUCGGUAAGGUGAUAUGAACCGUUAUAACCGGCGAUUUCCGAAUGGGGAAACCCAGUGUGAUUCGUCACACUAUCAUUAACUGAAUCCAUAGGUUAAUGAGGCGAACCGGGGGAACUGAAACAUCUAAGUACCCCGAGGAAAAGAAAUCAACCGAGAUUCCCCCAGUAGCGGCGAGCGAACGGGGAGCAGCCCAGAGCCUGAAUCAGUGUGUGUGUUAGUGGAAGCGUCUGGAAAGGCGCGCGAUACAGGGUGACAGCCCCGUACACAAAAAUGCACAUGCUGUGAGCUCGAUGAGUAGGGCGGGACACGUGGUAUCCUGUCUGAAUAUGGGGGGACCAUCCUCCAAGGCUAAAUACUCCUGACUGACCGAUAGUGAACCAGUACCGUGAGGGAAAGGCGAAAAGAACCCCGGCGAGGGGAGUGAAAAAGAACCUGAAACCGUGUACGUACAAGCAGUGGGAGCACGCUUAGGCGUGUGACUGCGUACCUUUUGUAUAAUGGGUCAGCGACUUAUAUUCUGUAGCAAGGUUAACCGAAUAGGGGAGCCGAAGGGAAACCGAGUCUUAACUGGGCGUUAAGUUGCAGGGUAUAGACCCGAAACCCGGUGAUCUAGCCAUGGGCAGGUUGAAGGUUGGGUAACACUAACUGGAGGACCGAACCGACUAAUGUUGAAAAAUUAGCGGAUGACUUGUGGCUGGGGGUGAAAGGCCAAUCAAACCGGGAGAUAGCUGGUUCUCCCCGAAAGCUAUUUAGGUAGCGCCUCGUGAAUUCAUCUCCGGGGGUAGAGCACUGUUUCGGCAAGGGGGUCAUCCCGACUUACCAACCCGAUGCAAACUGCGAAUACCGGAGAAUGUUAUCACGGGAGACACACGGCGGGUGCUAACGUCCGUCGUGAAGAGGGAAACAACCCAGACCGCCAGCUAAGGUCCCAAAGUCAUGGUUAAGUGGGAAACGAUGUGGGAAGGCCCAGACAGCCAGGAUGUUGGCUUAGAAGCAGCCAUCAUUUAAAGAAAGCGUAAUAGCUCACUGGUCGAGUCGGCCUGCGCGGAAGAUGUAACGGGGCUAAACCAUGCACCGAAGCUGCGGCAGCGACGCUUAUGCGUUGUUGGGUAGGGGAGCGUUCUGUAAGCCUGCGAAGGUGUGCUGUGAGGCAUGCUGGAGGUAUCAGAAGUGCGAAUGCUGACAUAAGUAACGAUAAAGCGGGUGAAAAGCCCGCUCGCCGGAAGACCAAGGGUUCCUGUCCAACGUUAAUCGGGGCAGGGUGAGUCGACCCCUAAGGCGAGGCCGAAAGGCGUAGUCGAUGGGAAACAGGUUAAUAUUCCUGUACUUGGUGUUACUGCGAAGGGGGGACGGAGAAGGCUAUGUUGGCCGGGCGACGGUUGUCCCGGUUUAAGCGUGUAGGCUGGUUUUCCAGGCAAAUCCGGAAAAUCAAGGCUGAGGCGUGAUGACGAGGCACUACGGUGCUGAAGCAACAAAUGCCCUGCUUCCAGGAAAAGCCUCUAAGCAUCAGGUAACAUCAAAUCGUACCCCAAACCGACACAGGUGGUCAGGUAGAGAAUACCAAGGCGCUUGAGAGAACUCGGGUGAAGGAACUAGGCAAAAUGGUGCCGUAACUUCGGGAGAAGGCACGCUGAUAUGUAGGUGAAGUCCCUCGCGGAUGGAGCUGAAAUCAGUCGAAGAUACCAGCUGGCUGCAACUGUUUAUUAAAAACACAGCACUGUGCAAACACGAAAGUGGACGUAUACGGUGUGACGCCUGCCCGGUGCCGGAAGGUUAAUUGAUGGGGUUAGCCGCAAGGCGAAGCUCUUGAUCGAAGCCCCGGUAAACGGCGGCCGUAACUAUAACGGUCCUAAGGUAGCGAAAUUCCUUGUCGGGUAAGUUCCGACCUGCACGAAUGGCGUAAUGAUGGCCAGGCUGUCUCCACCCGAGACUCAGUGAAAUUGAACUCGCUGUGAAGAUGCAGUGUACCCGCGGCAAGACGGAAAGACCCCGUGAACCUUUACUAUAGCUUGACACUGAACAUUGAGCCUUGAUGUGUAGGAUAGGUGGGAGGCUUUGAAGUGUGGACGCCAGUCUGCAUGGAGCCGACCUUGAAAUACCACCCUUUAAUGUUUGAUGUUCUAACGUGGACCCGUGAUCCGGGUUGCGGACAGUGUCUGGUGGGUAGUUUGACUGGGGCGGUCUCCUCCUAAAGAGUAACGGAGGAGCACGAAGGUUGGCUAAUCCUGGUCGGACAUCAGGAGGUUAGUGCAAUGGCAUAAGCCAGCUUGACUGCGAGCGUGACGGCGCGAGCAGGUGCGAAAGCAGGUCAUAGUGAUCCGGUGGUUCUGAAUGGAAGGGCCAUCGCUCAACGGAUAAAAGGUACUCCGGGGAUAACAGGCUGAUACCGCCCAAGAGUUCAUAUCGACGGCGGUGUUUGGCACCUCGAUGUCGGCUCAUCACAUCCUGGGGCUGAAGUAGGUCCCAAGGGUAUGGCUGUUCGCCAUUUAAAGUGGUACGCGAGCUGGGUUUAGAACGUCGUGAGACAGUUCGGUCCCUAUCUGCCGUGGGCGCUGGAGAACUGAGGGGGGCUGCUCCUAGUACGAGAGGACCGGAGUGGACGCAUCACUGGUGUUCGGGUUGUCAUGCCAAUGGCACUGCCCGGUAGCUAAAUGCGGAAGAGAUAAGUGCUGAAAGCAUCUAAGCACGAAACUUGCCCCGAGAUGAGUUCUCCCUGACCCUUUAAGGGUCCUGAAGGAACGUUGAAGACGACGACGUUGAUAGGCCGGGUGUGUAAGCGCAGCGAUGCGUUGAGCUAACCGGUACUAAUGAACCGUGAGGCUUAACCU
rnacentral:rRNA from 1 species